CAUGCAAGUCGAACGAAGUAGCAAUACUUAGUGGCAGACGGGUGAGUAACAUGUAGGUAUCUGCCCUUUGGCCUGGAAUAACACGAGGAAACUUGUGCUAAUACCGGAUAAGUCUUUACGGAGAAAGCUUUAUGCACCAUUGGAUGAGCCUGCACUUGAUUAGUUAGUUGGUAGGGUAAAAGCCUACCAAGACUUUGAUCAAUAGCUGAUUUGAGAGGAUGAUCAGCCACAUUGGGACUGAGACACGGCCCAAACUCCUACGGGAGGCAGCAGUGGGGAAUCUUGCACAAUGGAGGAAACUCUGAUGCAGCGAUGCCGCGUGAGUGAAGAAGGCCCUUGGGUUGUAAAGCUCUUUCGUCGGGGAAGAAAAUGACUGUACCCGAAUAAGAAGGUCCGGCUAACUUCGUGCCAGCAGCCGCGGUAAUACGAAGGGACCUAGCGUAGUUCGGAAUUACUGGGCUUAAAGAGUUCGUAGGUGGUUGAAAAAGUUGGUGGUGAAAUCCCAGAGCUUAACUCUGGAACUGCCAUCAAAACUUUUCAGCUAGAGUUUGAUAGAGGAAAGCAGAAUUUCUAGUGUAGAGGUGAAAUUCGUAGAUAUUAGAAAGAAUACCAAUUGCGAAGGCAGCUUUCUGGAUCAUUGCUGACACUGAGGAACGAAAGCAUGGGUAGCGAAGAGGAUUAGAUACCCUCGUAGUCCAUGCCGUAAACGAUGUGUGUUAGACGUUGGAAAUUUAUUUUCAGUGUCGCAGCGAAAGCGAUAAACACACCG
rnacentral:rRNA from 1 species